GGUCCCCCAGGUUUUAACGCUUCAGAUGUAAAUCUUUACAUAGCAGGGUUAAUCCAACCUCUAGUAGCUGUCUUCCUGACAGCCGCUAGAGGCUCUUCUUCGACGCUGGAUGCAAAAUUCGCAUCCAGCAUGCAGAACGUCCACAGGAAAGCAUUGUGAAAUGCUUAUGCAGGUCUUCCACCAGGUGGACACUCCCCUAGGGGACCUGGCAGAAAAC